GACGAACGCUGGCGGCGUGCCUAACACAUGCAAGUCGAACGAGGUCCAUGCAGUGGCAACACUGUGGAAGACCUAGUGGCGAACGGGUGAGUAACACGUGAGGAACCUGCCCCGAAGACCGGGAUAACUCUCCGAAAGGAGUGCUAAUACCGGAUACCCCCACCUGGCCGCAUGACCGGGUGAGGAAAUGGAUUCCGCUUCGGGAGGGCCUCGCGGCCUAUCAGCUAGUUGGUGGGGUAACGGCCCACCAAGGCAUCGACGGGUAGCUGGUCUGAGAGGACGAUCAGCCACACUGGGACUGAGACACGGCCCAGACUCCUACGGGAGGCAGCAGUGGGGAAUCUUGCGCAAUGGGCGAAAGCCUGACGCAGCAACGCCGCGUGGGGGAUGAAGGCUCUCGGGUCGUAAACCCCUUUCAGCAGGGACGAAUCAAGACGGUACCUGCAGAAGAAGCCCCGGCUAACUACGUGCCAGCCGCCGCCGUAAAAC
rnacentral:rRNA from 1 species